UACGUAGGGGGCGAGCGUGGUCCGGAGUUACUGGGCGUAAAGCGCACGCAGGCGGUCUGCUAAGUUUGGAGUGACAGUUGGUGGCUUAACUGCCAAAGUGCUUCGAAAACUGACAGACUUGAGGGCUUCAGAGGGACACGGAAUUCCGGGUGGAGUGGUGAAAUGCGUAGAGAUCCGGAGGAACACCAAAGGCGAAGGCAGUGUCCUGGGGAGUACCUGACGCUCAGGUGCGAAAGCCAGGGGAGCGAACGGG
rnacentral:rRNA from 1 species